UGCCCGGGGCUGCGGGAGCCCGAGAACGGGGAGCCUCUCCCGGCACGCGGCGGGGAGAACCCAGGGACGGGGACACCGGAAACACGGCUCAGUCUGGAGUGAGAGCCAAAGAGUUUGGGAGAGCCCAGCGGGACGAGGGCGUCCCGUUCGCGGCCACGUUGCAGGCAGGCAUGCGAGGCUGGGACCCAGGCAGCGUCGGAGACGUCUGGAGUUGAAACUUGUAGAAUGUUGAAACUCUUUCCGGGCUCGCCGACCUGCUGGAAGGUGGGGCCACGCGGAGCCCCCGGCUCGGCGGUCGCUAGCGCUUUCCCGCCUACACGUCUCCUCAGCCGUAGGCCGCAGCCCUGGGUGGAUCCGUAGCCACACGCCUGCUUUCCAGGUUCCCUGUCCCCAGACAUACUUCAGGUGUUGGUAGUGGUCGGGAGUGAGCCCAAGAUUCUGUAUUGCGAAGAGCUUCCUGGUGGAGCAGACACGGCCGUGGAAGCAGCCAGGGUCUGAGUCCAGCUCCACGACAGAUUUAUAGAGAGAAGGAGCUGAGCUGAUCAGGAGCC